rnacentral:tRNA from 1 species
GGCGGCAUGGCGGAGUGGUUACGCACCGGACUGCAAAUCCGUUUACCCCGGUUCGAUUCCGGGUGCCGCCUCCA